CCUACGGGUGGCAGCAGUGAGGAAUAUUGGUCAAUGGACGCAAGUCUGAACCAGCCAUGCCGCGUGCAGGAAGACGGCCCUAUGAGUUGUAAACUGCUUUUGUACGGGGAUAAACGCAGACACGCGUAUCUGUCUGCAAGUAUCUUACGAAUAAGGAUCGGCUAACUCCGUGCCAGCAGCCGCGGUAAUACGGAGGAUUCAAGCGUUAUCCGGAUUUAUUGGGUUUAAAGGGUGCGUAGGCGGUUGGAUAAGUUAGAUGUGAAAGCCCGAGGCUCAACUUCGGAAUUGCAUCUGAUACUGUCCGGCUUGAGAAUAGUUGCGGUAGGCGGAAUGUAUGGUGUAGCGGUGAAAUGCUUAGAGAUCAUACAGAACACCGAUUGCGAAGGCAGCUUACCAAGCUACGUCUGACAUUGAGGCACGAAAGCGUGGGGAGCAAACAGGAUUAGAUACCCCAGUAGUC
rnacentral:rRNA from 1 species